GCCUUCUUGUUAGGAAAUUCUUUUUCCACAGUGAUCCAAUUUUGUUUUACAGAUUCGGGAAGAGGUGUCCUUGGAUGCGGGGGAUUGCAUUUCAGUUUCAGAGCUACACAAGGUGGGCUGAACAUUGAUGUGGUAGGAUAUUUCUGAAACAUCAUGAUGUUCUAGAAUUGUAGAUAGGAAAAGACAAGAAGCGGUUUUGUGGAGUAUUCAGGACCAUAUAUCUACUGCAGCAGUAGACCAAGGAUCCGCAAAUUCAGGGUCUAAAACGCCCUCUAAAGUACCGGUGAAAAAGCUUCUGAGAGCCCUUGGGUUGGACCAUGUGGUAUAUACCAAGGGCAUGACGACACUGUUGAAGAUGUGCAGUUUUGUACUUCAAGGUUAUUGACAGUUAUACUUGGAUAUGUUUUUUGAUGGUUUAUACGGUUAUAAAUUCUCCAUACAGUUUUGCGGAUGUCAUUUUCUUGUCUCAUUCUUUGCGAUGCUCGUACUGGAAGAGAUCUUUCAUGAUUAAUCCAGAGUUAAUUGUUGGCAUGCUUUUCUUGCUUUGUAUGGAUGACAAUGAGGCUAUUGAAAUUGUUGGCGUGGAAAGGUUUUCAAUUUAUACUGGGUUUUGACAUAUGGCCUAAUAGGGGAGCAGAACCGUGAAUCUCUUGAAGUGGACUUUUCCAACAAAUAUAUAGGUGGUGGUGCUAUUGGUAGAAGCUGCGUACAGGUUUGUUGAAUUUUUUCUUUAUGCUUAGUGGAUGUCAUUCGUGAAUAAGCCAAGCCAAGGAAAACAUCACUGAACUCAACUUUGGCAUUUGUUAGAUCAACCAUGAUAAGUGGAAUGUUAUUUAAGCUUAAGCUUGGGGUAUCUUUUGUUGUGUUAGUGCAACGAGCAGUUUACAAGCCAGGACCUCAAUUGAGCUCAAGCUUGGGUUUACCUUGUUCAUACUUAAGGGAAGAAGCAUUGUAAGAACUUCUGAAUAAUAUGCUUUUAUGAAAUGAACAUGGUCAACUUCGCAAAGUAACCCCACUUUCUCCUGUUGCGAGUUGGUAAAAAGAAAGAACGUGUUGGAAAUAGAAUGCCUGAUUCUCCUCCAAGAUUAUUCUUCUAGCAAGCUGAUCACGAGUAUAUGAAGACAUAAUUUUUAUGAAAAUUUUUCUUUCCAGUGGAAUACAUCUGACCCAUGGACAAUUGUUAGCAUUUCUGAUGAUUGCGAAAGCAACUGUGGUGGUGGGACAUUGCAGGCUAGAGGAGGAGGUUCUGGAAGAACUUGAAACUAGGUACAAGUUGAGAUCGGCUGGGAUGCAACUGAUUCUUGCUGGAGUUGGAGGAGUUGAUACUGGCUGGGAUGCAACGGAAACGAACCCGUUGCGAAGAACUGCAACAUCGACUUUUGUAACAAAGAGAAACUGUUGCGACCCCACUUUGCAACUGCCACCUGCUAAUCACUAAAUUUGGUGUAGUGCUUGGCAGUGACAAGUGGUGGUUACGGCCAUGGAUCUUGAGAGGAAGGAACGACAGCUACGAGCAUGGACCUUGGUCGGUCACGAACAUGAAUAUUGACGCGCUUUAAUAAAUCACGCACGCGAGUUUAUUCUCCUUUCUUUAUUUUUUUGGUGAAGUAGCUCUUCCCUGAUUCCCUGUGUGUGGAAAAUCGCCUAUUGUUGUUUGCAUAAAUACUCCAUCGUAAUCUGUACGGUUUCGUGGACGGAGUCCCCAGGAACUAUACAACCCCUGAUGGGAAGAGGGUCUCUGCGAACUCCUUCAGUAUCUAAUUAAAGUUCUCCUGCAUCUGUGGUAACGACAAUAUUUGGGAUUUUCCAUUUGUUCCUGAGUUGGUGGGCGCCUGAUAGGAGGUAGUUUGAUGGCAUCAUCUUGAAUCCAUACUUCCAGGAGUUCAAUCACUUCAUCGAUCGGUAACGGGAAGUUUGGAGCAGCAUCUCCAGUUUCUUGUUGUUGUGCGGGAGUCUUUAGCUGCGGCCUUACGGGAUGGGGCCGUCUGAUGCGUUGGUGCUGCACGUUUGAGUUAUUGUUCUGCAACUGGAGCUUCUCCCCUUCCUCCUACACUCACAACGCUUACAGAGGGUUGAGUGUUGUAUUAUUUUUUGAUGAGACGUCUGUUUCCUCGAAUCUCACAUGUAUCUUCAUUCUUGGCGGGCCUGAUUCCUUCCAGCAAAGCUGGUGCUGUUAUAGCCAACCGCUUAGCAGCUUCAUGAAGUUCGAAGAACGUAUGGAAGCGUGGGUUCUCCAGUAAAGCGCGAUAGACAGGUGCCAUGCCAUUAAUGCACAACUCUAAUAAUUGAUGUUCAGUCACAUUUGGAUCAUAGUGCUUGAAUCCAAUUGGCUAUACGGUUUGGUGUAAUGUUGUUGUACCAGGUGUACGCUCUCCCCGUAAGUAACUUUGAGAACUCUUUCAGGCGGAGGACAUGAUUGUAUUCGUGCUCUUCUAAUGACUCCAGAAAACGAGAGAUGU